rnacentral:rRNA from 1 species
UCGAGCGAACAGAAGGGAGCUUGCUCCCGGAUGUUAGCGGCGGACGGGUGAGUAACACGUGGGUAACCUGCCUGUAAGACUGGGAUAACUCCGGGAAACCGGAGCUAAUACCGGAUAGUUCCUUGAACCGCAUGGUUCAAGGAUGAAAGACGGUUUCGGCUGUCACUUACAGAUGGACCCGCGGCGCAUUAGCUAGUUGGUGGGGUAAUGGCUCACCAAGGCGACGAUGCGUAGCCGACCUGAGAGGGUGAUCGGCCACACUGGGACUGAGACACGGCCCAGACUCCUACGGGAGGCAGCAGUAGGGAAUCUUCCGCAAUGGACGAAAGUCUGACGGAGCAACGCCGCGUGAGUGAUGAAGGUUUUCGGAUCGUAAAGCUCUGUUGUUAGGGAAGAACAAGUGCGAGAGUAACUGCUCGCACCUUGACGGUACCUAACCAGAAAGCCACGGCUAACUACGUGCCAGCAGCCGCGGUAAUACGUAGGUGGCAAGCGUUGUCCGGAAUUAUUGGGCGUAAAGGGCUCGCAGGCGGUUUCUUAAGUCUGAUGUGAAAGCCCCCGGCUCACCGGGGAGGGUCAUGGAAACUGGGAACUUGAGUGCAAAAAAGAAAGUG